rnacentral:rRNA from 1 species
GNNNANNGGNGGGUUUGCUAUAAUGCAAGUCGAACGGAGAUUGUAGCAAUACGGUCUUAGUGGCGAACGGGUGAGUAACGCGUUGGUGAUCUGCCUCGAAGUGUGGAAUAACGAUUCGAAAGAAUCGCUAAUACCGCAUAGUCUCUCUUUUUCCAGAAAUUUGAGAGUAAAGGAUUUAUUCGCUUUGAGAGGAGCCUGCGUCCCAUCAGCUAGUUGGUAAGGUAAUGGCCUACCAAGGCGAUGACGGGUAGGGGACCUGAGAGGGUGGCCCCCCACAAUGGAACUGAAACACGGUCCAUACACCUACGGGUGGCAGCAGUAGGGAAUAUUAGAAAUGGACGAAAGUCUGAUCUAGCAACACCGCGUGUGCGAAGAAGGCCUUCGGGUUGUAAAGCACUUUUUGGAAGGAUUAGGAAGGAAUGUACUUCCAGAAUAAGUCUCGGCUAACUACGUGCCAGCAGCCGCGGUAACACGUAGGAGGCAAACGUUAUCCGGAUUUACUGGGCGUAAAGCGCGUGUAGGUGGUUCUGUAAGUAGGGCGUGAAAGCUCCUGGCUCAACUGGGAGAGGCCGUUCUAAACUGCAGAGCUAGGGGAUGGUAGAGGGAGGUGGAAUUCCGGGUGUAGCGGUGGAAUGCGCAGAUAUCCGGAGGAACACCAGUGGCGAAGGCGACCUCCUGGGCCACUCCUGACACUCAGACGCGAAAGCUAGGGUAGCAAACGGGAUUAGAGACCCCGGUAGUCCUAGCCCUAAACGAUGUUUACUUGACGUCGGCGGCUUAAUCGCCAUCGGUGUCGUAGCUAACGCGAUAAGUAAACCGCUUGGGGACUACGGCCGCAAGGUUAAAACUCAAAGGAAUUGACGGGUCCCCGCACAAGCAGCGGAGCGUGUGGUUUAAUUUCUUUGCUACACGAAGAACCUUACCUGGGUUUUGACAUAGCAGUGGUAGGGAACGAAAGUUGGACCGACCCUUUCGGCGAGCUGUUACAGGUUGUUGCAUGGCUGUUCGUCAGCUUCGUGUCCGUGGAGAUGUUCCGGUUAGUCCGC